rnacentral:rRNA from 1 species
UAGGGAAUCUUCGGCAAUGGGGGGAACCCUGACCGAGCAACGCCGCUUGCGUGAAGAAGGUUUUCGGAUCGUAAAGCUCUGUUGUUAAGUAAGAACGAGUGUGAGAAUGGAAAGUUCAUGCUGUGACGGUACUUAACCAGAAAGGGACGGCUAACUACGUGCCAGCAGCCGCGGUAAUACGUAGGUCCCGAGCGUUGUCCGGAUUUAUUGGGCGUAAAGCGAGCGCAGGCGGUUAGAAAAGUCUGAAGUGAAAGGCAGUGGCUCAACCAUUGUAGGCUUUGGAAACUGUUUAACUUGAGUGCAGAAGGGGAGAGUGGAAUUCCAUGUGUAGCGGUGAAAUGCGUAGAUAUAUGGAGGAACACCGGUGGCGAAAGCGGCUCUCUGGUCUGUAACUGACGCUGAGGCUCGAAAGCGUGGGGAGCGAACAGG